rnacentral:lncRNA from 1 species
UUGCCUCGUCGUAGCUCGCCGAUUCAACCGAUCUUUGGUACCGUAUUGACGGACCGAUGUUGAAAUGGGAAACGUAGUGAUCCAAGUGUUCAAUGAAUUGGGCUCUGGAGACAAACAUCGGAUAAGAAGAAGGGAAUGGCAGGUGAGGGAGCUGACAAAAUUGCUUUGCUAAGUGCAGACGUAGGCGAUCGUAGGAAUAUUUCUUCCAGAUGGACGCGUAACAAUUUUCUCUUUCGAGGAUUACGUAAGGGAUUGAUUGAAGGCUAAGGCAGGCCGCCGUCGCCAGGCCGGACGUUCCUGCCCCUACCAUUAUCACUUCUACUCCCGCCGCUUGCUCUUUCAUUUCUUCUUCUUCUUCUUCUUUUUCAGGUUAAUUUUGAGUUAAGUUGAUUGUUAUUGCCCGUCGGGGGGUGCUUAUUCAAUUUAUAUACUGAAAAUCUUUACGUUAUAUGUACGACUCCAAUCAAUUUUUAUUUUGAUACUAUUGAAGAAGAUGUAUGUUACAAGACACUCGAUUCACGAACUCCACGUAGUCGGACCUUAUAGGGAAAAAUUGUGGUGCAAUUGUGUUAUGGUAUCACAGUUGCACUCAAUCGUUGGAUUUCGAUGGACCUUACUCAUCUAAAUGGAUCUAACGGCUGGAUGUAACUGUGGUACAGUACCACAGUUGCACUGUAGCCGAACCUUAGAGAGAAAUAUUAUGGUGUAACUGGGUACCGUGGCACAAUUGUACCCGAUCGGUGAAUCUCGAUGGACCCAUCCAAAUGAAUCCAACGACCGAAUGUAACUGUGAUACAAUAGCAUAGUUGUACCAUAAUCAGACCUUUAUAUAUAUAUAUAAUAGUUUUCAGGUGCGAGAUAUUUUAAAAUGAGGGAAAAGUUUGAUAAAAUUUUAAAAUAAUAGAAUUUAAGUGGUUUAAAACUUAAAACGAUUAAACCUUAUAAUUUAUUCUUUUUCUCAAAUUUUCCGCACCACGAAAUUUUAGAUUGAAACCUCUCUGUUUGUUUGUAUGUUCGCUGCCACCCCACCAUGUUUGUAUGUAUGUUCGCUGCACCCCACCAUGUUUGUAUGUAUGUUCGCUGCCACCCCACCAUUUUAAUUUUCUCAUUCUAUGUGAUAAAUCAAUAUUUUUUUAUACGUCCUUAGUGUUACGAGAAAAACUUUUUAUGUAGGGCCAAAUGAUUAGAGUACUGCCAAUUUAACAGAUUAUUGAGGUAAUAAUUAAUCAUGCACAAGUAUUUCUCCAAAGAACGCUCAAGGAAACUUGAGCAACAUAGAGUUUUUUUUCUUCUCUUUAAUACAAAAUAAAGACAAGUAGCAUCAUUGUAGUUCUUAAGCGUGCAUUUUUUUUUCUUCUCUUUAAUACAAAAUAAAGACAAGUAGCAUCAUUGUAGUUCUUAAGCGUGCAUUUUUUUUUCUUCUCUUUAAUACAAAAUAAAGACAAGUAGCAUCAUUGUAGUUCUUAAGCGUGCAUUUUUUUUUCUUCUCUUUAAUACAAAAUAAAGACAAGUAGCAUCAUUGUAGUUCUUAAGCGUGCAUUUUUUUUUCUUCUCUUUAAUACAAAAUAAAGACAAGUAGCAUCAUUGUAGUUCUUAAGCGUGCAUUUUUUUUUCUUCUCUUUAAUACAAAAUAAAGACAAGUAGCAUCAUUGUAGUUCUUAAGCGUGCAUUUUUUUUUCUUCUCUUUAAUACAAAAUAAAGACAAGUAGCAUCAUUGUAGUUCUUAAGCGUGCAUUUUUUUUUCUUCUCUUUAAUACAAAAUAAAGAAGUAUUACAUUUGCAUAUAAAGUAACAUUAUCUAGGUCAUAUUACUAUUAAGGAAAAUGCUAUUUGCAUAUGAAAAAUAAAGUAAGGAUACUUGUACACAAAGACAAAAUUAGUAAAAUGAAUAAGUUUGUUUUAUAAUGAAAUGUUUCUUAUCUUUAAUGACCAUGUAUAAUUUUAUGUACAAAUAAUAUUACCUACCAAAUGGUUAUGCUACCUCGAAUGGACGCAGGGGGGUGCUUAUUCAAUUUAUAUACUGAAAAUCUUUACGUUAUAUGUACGACUCCAAUCAAUUUUUAUUUUGAUACUAUUGAAGAAGAUGUAUGUUACAAGACACUCGAUUCACGAACUCCACGUAGUCGGACCUUAUAGGGAAAAAUUGUGGUGCAAUUGUGUUAUGGUAUCACAGUUGCACUCAAUCGUUGGAUUUCGAUGGACCUUACUCAUCUAAAUGGAUCUAACGGCUGGAUGUAACUGUGGUACAGUACCACAGUUGCACUGUAGCCGAACCUUAGAGAGAAAUAUUAUGGUGUAACUGGGUACCGUGGCACAAUUGUACCCGAUCGGUGAAUCUCGAUGGACCCAUCCAAAUGAAUCCAACGACCGAAUGUAACUGUGAUACAAUAGCAUAGUUGUACCAUAAUCAGACCUUUAUAUAUAUAUAUAAUAGUUUUCAGGUGCGAGAUAUUUUAAAAUGAGGGAAAAGUUUGAUAAAAUUUUAAAAUAAUAGAAUUUAAGUGGUUUAAAACUUAAAACGAUUAAACCUUAUAAUUUAUUCUUUUUCUCAAAUUUUCCGCACCACGAAAUUUUAGAUUGAAACCUCUCUGUUUGUUUGUAUGUUCGCUGCCACCCCACCAUGUUUGUAUGUAUGUUCGCUGCACCCCACCAUGUUUGUAUGUAUGUUCGCUGCCACCCCACCAUUUUAAUUUUCUCAUUCUAUGUGAUAAAUCAAUAUUUUUUUAUACGUCCUUAGUGUUACGAGAAAAACUUUUUAUGUAGGGCCAAAUGAUUAGAGUACUGCCAAUUUAACAGAUUAUUGAGGUAAUAAUUAAUCAUGCACAAGUAUUUCUCCAAAGAACGCUCAAGGAAACUUGAGCAACAUAGAGUUUUUUUUCUUCUCUUUAAUACAAAAUAAAGACAAGUAGCAUCAUUGUAGUUCUUAAGCGUGCAUUUUUUUUUCUUCUCUUUAAUACAAAAUAAAGAAGUAUAGCAUCAUUGUAGUUCUUAAGCGUGCAUUUUUUUUUCUUCUCUUUAAUACAAAAUAAAGACAAGUAGCAUCAUUGUAGUUCUUAAGCGUGCAUUUUUUUUUCUUCUCUUUAAUACAAAAUAAAGACAAGUAGCAUCAUUGUAGUUCUUAAGCGUGCAUUUUUUUUUCUUCUCUUUAAUACAAAAUAAAGACAAGUAGCAUCAUUGUAGUUCUUAAGCGUGCAUUUUUUUUUCUUCUCUUUAAUACAAAAUAAAGACAAGUAGCAUCAUUGUAGUUCUUAAGCGUGCAUUUUUUUUUCUUCUCUUUAAUACAAAAUAAAGACAAGUAGCAUCAUUGUAGUUCUUAAGCGUGCAUUUUUUUUUCUUCUCUUUAAUACAAAAUAAAGAAGUAUUACAUUUGCAUAUAAAGUAACAUUAUCUAGGUCAUAUUACUAUUAAGGAAAAUGCUAUUUGCAUAUGAAAAAUAAAGUAAGGAUACUUGUACACAAAGACAAAAUUAGUAAAAUGAAUAAGUUUGUUUUAUAAUGAAAUGUUUCUUAUCUUUAAUGACCAUGUAUAAUUUUAUGUACAAAUAAUAUUACCUACCAAAUGGUUAUGCUACCUCGAAUGGACGCAAAAUUAUUGGAAUAUAUUAAAAUCAUGCAUUGUAUAACUUUUAUUUUUGUUUAUUUAAUUUUGGCUUAAGAGAGAAGAAACAGAUUAGCAUGCUUUAUUUGAUUGAAAAAGACAUUGAAAAUAGCAUUCUUUGUGUUUCCACAAAUGAAGUUAUCCCCACAGAUUUCAGUUUAUUUGGAAAUUUGACAUCCACAUGUUUAUUUGGAAUUUCGACAUCCACAUUCAACAAUCCUUGAAAACGAAGACGGAAAAAGGAAAUGAGUUGGAAGAUGUUCACAUAAUUUCCCUUUCUCAAUAACUACCACACCUCAUCAAAAUUGAAGUCCCAACUCAGACAUAACAUAUGCUCCCACACAUACGUACGGUCCAGAAAGACUCAACUAGGGUUGGCAAUGGAACAGGAUGGGAUGAGAUUUACCAAUCUCAGUAUCCCAUCCCAUCCCGUAUAUGUAAAUGAGAUGAAAAAAUGUUCCAGUCCCGUUUUUAUAUUUUUUUUUGGACAAAAAUAUAUCUCAAUCCCGUCCCAAAAGAGAUGGGAUCUAGCGGUAUCCCAUCCCAAUUAAAAAAAUUUUCAUUCUUAAUCGGUAAUGAAACGGGAUGAGACGAAAUUUGUCAAUCUCACUCUCGUCCUACAUACGUAAUUGGGAUAAAAUGUUCCACUCCCAUCCCUAAAUUUUUUUAUGAGACAAAAAUAUGUCUCAAUCUCGUCCCAAAUGAGAUGAGAUCCCGCAAGAUCCCAUUUCAUCGGGAAAAAUUGCCAUCCCUAGACUCAACCAUAUACUUGUACUCUUGAAUGGAAAAUUUUGCCAGCAUGUUUCCUUGUUUGUUGGGUCAAAAAUAAAAGAAAUUAGGGAAAAAGAAAAAAAGCAAAUUGAAUUUGUCAAUGGAACGUAAAGAUCACUUGACGUUUCCAAUAAGGUAUUUCAUGACAAACACAUUUUGAGAAAAUCCUUUACACCAGGUCAGAAAGUACUUUUGUAUAAUUCUCGAUUGCAUCUCUUUCCACGUAAGUUACGUUCUCAAUGGUCUGGUCAUUUUAUAGUUCGUACUGUCUUCCCUUAUGGAACAAUUGAGAUUGAAAAUCCUAAAAAUGGUGAUUUAUUUAAGGUCAAUGGUCAAAGAUUAAAACUAUUUUUAGAGUUAAGAACACCAUAAGUUUAGGAGAUACUUUUAGAUGAUCCUGUUUAUCAGGAUUAAUUAAGUCCAUUUUUGCACUCUUGUUUUAUUUUAAUAGUAGGUUUUCUUUUCUUUGUUUGUUUUUCUUUUCUAGUAUUUUUCUUUUCUAAUGUUUUCUUUUCAUUUGACAUUUUCUUUUAAGCUUUCACAGCCCAUCUAGGUGUGUUCUCUCCAACUUUCUUUUUUAUUAUUUAUGUUUUUAUAUUAUUUUUACUAUUUAUUUUUCUCAUUUGUUUGCAUGCAUAUCUUUUGUUUGUGAAACAUUGAGGACAAUGUUCCAAAUAAGUUUGGGGGUGGGAAUAGUGUGUGCUUUGUUUGUUAAAAAAUAAAUAAAAAUUGUGUGUGUGUGUGUGUGUUUUUUUUUUUUACGUGAAAAGCCAAUGAUAAGAACUUGAUUGACAAUGAAUAUGUUUUUUAGAAAGGGUUGAAUAUUGUCUUAGUUUAUACUUGAUUUUUGUGUUAGUUCAUCUUGAUUGAGAUUUUUUAAACCAUAAGCACUAAUAUCAAUUCUUUCAUAAUUUUGACUUAUAAUUUUGACUUGAAAUUUGAGAUUGACGCAGCCUGAGUUGAGAAUUUUAGAUAGAGUAAAUGAAUGUUUGUCUUGAUUCUUAUCUCUACAAUACAAAAUAGUAUACACGGCGCCAAAGUUAGAAAUAACUACUUAUAACCCUUAAGAGUGAUGCUAUCAUUGAGUAAUUUGGGCCUAUGUACCACAAGUAUGUAGAGAAUAAUCUACCAUGAGAAGAAUGCUACCUUAAGGGGUAGAGUGAAAGCUCCUAACUAUGGUUUUAAAAAAAAAGAGAAGAAAAGAGAAAGAAAACGGAAAAAAAAGAAAGAAAAAUCAAGUGCAUGUGUUGAAAUUAAAAAAAAUCAAAAGAAAAUGCACAUAAAAGCCUGUGAAAAAAAAUUGGAGAUUAAGAUGAUAAGAUUAGUUUGACUUACUCUUUUCUUUGUUUGAGGCGAAGGUUGUUGAUAUUGAAGAUUUUGGGAAUUGAUUUCACACACACACACUACAAGAAUCAAAAGAGAGCUGGAAUUGAUAAUUGAAUUAAAGUUGAAAAGCUUGUUGGGUUGACUGAAUGAAACUUUGAAGUGUAUCAUCUAAAUAAGGCUUUCUUUGUUGAGGUGCAACAAAUUGAGACAUAGGUUGUUGGGCAGGAGGAUAUACUUGGUUAUGAGGGACAAAUUGGUGAAAAGCCAAUGAUAAGAACUUGAUUGACAAUGAAUAUGUUUUUUAGAAAGGGUUGAAUAUUGUCUUAGUUUAUACUUGAUUUUUGUGUUAGUUCAUCUUGAUUGAGAUUUUUUAAACCAUAAGCACUAAUAUCAAUUCUUUCAUAAUUUUGACUUAUAAUUUUGACUUGAAAUUUGAGAUUGACGCAGCCUGAGUUGAGAAUUUUAGAUAGAGUAAAUGAAUGUUUGUCUUGAUUCUUAUCUCUACAAUACAAAAUAGUAUACACGGCGCCAAAGUUAGAAAUAACUACUUAUAACCCUUAAGAGUGAUGCUAUCAUUGAGUAAUUUGGGCCUAUGUACCACAAGUAUGUAGAGAAUAAUCUACCAUGAGAAGAAUGCUACCUUAAGGGGUAGAGUGAAAGCUCCUAACUAUGGUUUUAAAAAAAAAGAGAAGAAAAGAGAAAGAAAACGGAAAAAAAAGAAAGAAAAAUCAAGUGCAUGUGUUGAAAUUAAAAAAAAUCAAAAGAAAAUGCACAUAAAAGCCUGUGAAAAAAAAUUGGAGAUUAAGAUGAUAAGAUUAGUUUGACUUACUCUUUUCUUUGUUUGAGGCGAAGGUUGUUGAUAUUGAAGAUUUUGGGAAUUGAUUUCACACACACACACUACAAGAAUCAAAAGAGAGCUGGAAUUGAUAAUUGAAUUAAAGUUGAAAAGCUUGUUGGGUUGACUGAAUGAAACUUUGAAGUGUAUCUGGAUGACUAUGGACUAUUGGAGGUUUUCUCAUAUGAUUGUAAGGCAUGUACUUGCUCAGAAUAAGCCUUUUGAUAGGCUGGUAAUGAUGGACAAUUAUGUGCCGCAUGAGACACGUUAGAACAAAGAGCACAAACCUCAUUAGCUACACUAGGAUGAUGAUUCGUUGAUUGGUUCAGAGCUAAGGCAUCUACUUUCCUAGAAAGUGCAGCUAUAGUGGAUUUCACAUCAAAAUCAUCCUUAACUUCAUAUAACCCCUUUCUAGAAACUUGAGAUGAUUUUUCCCUUUGAUUUGAAAAAUCCCACUGUUGAGAAUUUUCAGAAAGUGAAUUAAAGAAAUCCCAUGCAACCCUUUCAUGUAAGUUCAAAAAUCUCCUACCAUUCAUAUACUCUACCAUAUGACGAUUUGACAUGGUUAAACCAUUAUAAAAGCAUUGUAUAAGUCUCCAUUUCUCAAAACCAUGGUGGGGACACUUGAUGAGUAAAUCAUUGAAUCUUUCCUAGCACUCAUAAAAUUGCUCACCCUUUCUUUGAUAAAAAUCACUUAUCUCUCUCCUAAGGGAAUUUGUUUUAGACAUAGGGAAAAACUUGGUGAGGAACUUAUUACUCAAUUCAUCCCACGUAGUUAUAGACCCAGCAGGAAGUGAAUUCAACCAAGCUUUCGCUUUAUCUUUUAAUGAGAAAGGGAACAUACGAAGCCUAAUUGACUCAUCAUUAAAAUUUUAAAAACGGAAUGUAGAGCAUAUGUCAAGAAAUUUCUUAAUGUGCAAAUAUGGAUCAUCUCUCUCUAACCCAUGGAAAGAUGGUAAAAGUUGAAUGACUGAGGGCUUAAGUUCAAAGUGUGUUGCUGUAGUUUGUGGCAACACAAUACAUGAUGGUCGGUUGGCUGCAAGUGGUGAAAAAUGUUCUCUAAGGGUUUUAUCUACUUGCACUGGUGGUAGUACUGGCAAUAAUCUAUUUAGGUCAUUCAUGACUUGAGAAGAACUAGCUUGACUACUAUCAAUUUUUUACUCUUUUUUAACCAAACGAUUUGUUGAAUCACGUUCCAAACACUUAUAAACUAACUAGACAAGGAAAGAAAGAAAAAUAAAAUAAAUAAACCAACAAAAAUGAGAAUAAACGAAAUUUUAAAAUAUAAGAAAUCAAACAACCAAACAAUGAAUUUAAAGACAAAUAAAAGUUGUUUUUUAAUAAAAAAAUAAAAGACAACCUAAAUUAUAACUAGUGGAAGAAUCAAAUCAACCUAGAUUAAACUGACUUUCUAACACAAUCUCAGACAACAGCGCCAAAAACUUGUUGUGAAAAUUUUAAUAUACUCUCAAGCGCACGAAUCUAGAAUAGAGUAGUGGUAACGAGGUCGAUCCCACAUGGAUUGUUAUAAAUUGAAAAGUCUAAUUUAAAUCUAAAAUUAAUAUUAAUUCUAACCUAGUUAAGCAAAUUGAGUUUUAAGAGAAAUUAAACUAAUUAAACUAAGAAAACAAUUAAAGUAAAUGAGAUUUCAAUAAGACAAAAAUUACCAAGGUUUUGGAAUCCACCACUAUUCAACUAGUAAUUAUCUAAUUAUUAAUUAAUCUCCAAUUUUAAAGUGACAACUCGAAAUCAAUCUAUGUCAUCUCAUGGAUAUAACAAUUAAGUCUAAAUAAAAUUAAUCUUAUGUAGAUUCUUUUUCUGCUUAAUAGUAUAACAUCUAAGAAUCUCAUGUAAACAUAUUGAAUAACAAAGAGUCAAAGUUUCCCUAAGCACUCUAUGUAAACAAUUUAAUGAAAGACAUAAAAUCAAAGACAAUAAUGUAUAAACUUUAUAGAUCCAAGCAUAGAUUUAAUCAAAUAUUAAUCCUAACAAUCAAUAAUGCAUGACAAAAUUGAUGAAAAGAUUUUAUUAACAUUCAAUUAAUCAUGUGAAAUAAAAAUCAUAAUCAUCAAAGAAUAUAUAUAGGGAAUUAAUUAAAUAAAAAUAAUUAUUAUUUCAUUGAAUAGGGUUUCAUCUUUAACCUCAGUAUAAGAAAAUUAACUAGACAUACUUAAAUUGAGAGAAAUAAAGCAAAUAAAAACAGCCAUGGAGAAGCUGAAUUGUUGCUGCCCUUCCCUGCCGAAUCGCGUCUGCGUCCUCCCUUUUGUUUCCGUCCAGUGGCUCCUCCUUCUCCAAAAGCCAAAACUCCCUUUUAUAAUCUUUAAAAUGGGCCCCACCUCUUAAAUCCUAAAGCCAAAAGCCUUGGCCUUUUACUUGAUUUGCUCUCACACAAGUCCUGGGCACUUAGAAUUGCUAAAAGACUUAUUUUUCCAUUUAUAAAAGCCAAGUGUGGGUCCCUUCUUAAAGCUAAAUCAAUUUUUCUCCUUUGUUCGCAUGUACAUGAUGAAUUAAUCUUGUUGAAUUCAGUUCCUUGGCUUGAUUUCCUCAUGCACGUAUGUCUAAUUGCUUCCAAAAAUCAAUUAAUCUUUAAUGCUUACAAAUUGAACUCUUUUAUGCUCUUUUUAUCCAUAAUCUCCAAUUAAUUCCCUAUUCAAUAAAAUAAUUUAAUUAAUUAAAAAUAACAAAUUAAAAUAACUACCAAUUAAAUAAUUAAGGGUAAAAUAUGUAUAUAAAUUAUGCUCAUCAACGAUGUAUGUUAUUUUCGCUCUCUUUGUAAGUUCUCAUUUCUCAAAAGUACUGUAGAGCAUACUGUAUUAGAAUAACAUAGUAUGUAAGCUAAUUUGAAUUUUGUUUUCAACUUAAAUGUUAUAAUGGUAAUUAUAAUGGAAGAAAAUGUAAAUUAUGUUGUUGCUUUUAUGGUGCAUUUAUUUUUUAUUUUUAGAUCAAGGAAUUAGAAUCUCAAAUUGAAAUUAUUGAUAGUGUUUACUUGAUAAACAGAAGGUGAAAAUAUAAGUGAAAGUGAUGGGCUUUGUUGGACCAAAAAUAAAAUAGGUCCAAUCAAGGCAUAAAUGAAUUUAAUCCCAAUAAGACCCAUCUAAUAAAUUUACUCUCAAUUAAGUCUACAAAGUGCUGAACAAAUCACCUAUAAUAAUCCUCCUAAGUAAUAAAGCUUCAAAACCCAAAGGGUUCCAAGAUCCAAGGCCAAAAUUUAUUCUAGAGUCCUAAGAUCUAUCCUAAGACAAACCACCUAGGAUAAUCCUCCUAAGUAACAAGACUUCAAAGCCUAAAAGGUCUCAAAGUCCAGGACUAAAAGAUUCUAAAGUCCUAGGACUAAAAGAUUCUAAAGUCCUAUGAUCUUAUCCUAAGACAAACCAUCCAGAAUAAUCAUCCUAGAUGACGAGGUUUCAAAGCUCAAAAGGUACCGAGAUCCUAGGCUUCUAUCCUAAGACAAACUACUUAGGAUAAAUCUCCUACGUUCUAAGGUUCUCAUCAUCCCAGAGUUUUAGUAAAAAUAACUUAAGGUUAAAACACUUCUUUCUUUAUAUAUAGAGACAAACUUGUAUAUUCAUGUGUCAAUCAACAUGGGCACAAACAAACAAGUGUUGCCAGACGUGAUAAGAAACAUCCUUUAGUCGUGUAUUUUGUUCACUCUCACUGUACCCUCAUCAUGAUUCUCCCAUGUUUUUGGUCAGCAUGCAAAGACAAGUAUCUAGUUUUCGAGUUUGAAGAUAAUUAUCUUGCUGUUUUGGAGAGAGAAAUAGCAGUAGCUGCUUCAUCAUGCAUUCUCAAAGAUUAUGGAAUUCCGUCUGAAAGAUCUUCUGAUCUGUUGGAGCCAUAUGUGGAUCCGUUUGGGGAAAUCCAGGCAAUAAAUCAAGAUUCAGGUGACAGCCCAGUUUCAGAUUUGGAAAUUGGUUUUGACGGACUUAAGUGGGCAUAAUCAUGAGAUGUUGACAGUUCAAUCCAAAGACUCUCUCACGAUCAGCCAUGUGGGAACUGGGAAGACACGGUGAGAGUGAUACAGCCAACAGUGGACCACCAAGUCUCGAUGUCGAGGCUUCCGCUUUCGGGUCCUUUCAAGGACAAAAAAUGGGUUUUUUAACAAUUAUCAUGGCCGGUUUUUCAUUCUCUUUGUGGUUGGGUUUUUUGAGUUCGAACAUCGAGCCAACAACUUCCUGCUUAUCUUUUUUUUUUAUUUUUUAUGAUUUUUUCAGCGAGAGCAUUAUUGUAGCAGAGGUUGCUAUCAUUAGCCAUGAAAGCAUCGGAUGUAAUGUUGUGACAAUAAAAUUAUUAAUUUUAUUCAUAAUAGAAGUUAAUAAUGGUGAACAUACUGCAUUUUUUAGAGUAUUCAAAUAAAGUAUUUUAAAAUCCGAUCCAGAACUUAUUUUCUUAUAAUAAUUAAAAUUCCAAUCACGUUACAAAUUAACAAAAUUUUAAAUAUUGAAUAAAACUCCCAUCUAAUGUUUAUUCAUUUAUUUUACUUACCGAAAGCAAACAGGAAGAAUCGCAGAAACAGAAAUCAAACAGAAACACAACCACCAAGUGAUUUUUAAGUCAUGAAACACAAUCUUCAUUUCAAGGGCAAAAUCGUCAGACAACUUAUGUCAAACAAACUUUCCACGGCAAGUCUCUAUCUCCUCAUCUGGUCCCGUGUUAUUAAAAUCAGCACCGAUAUUCAGCACACAAUAAGCACCACAGUAAGCCCCGAACAGUGCGUUUUGUGUGCAAUAUAAAAGGCCAUUGUUUAAACAAACAAACACAUUACACGCGCACCUCACGCAUGCAUCAGUCUCACUCUCAUUCACACCAAACCCAAUCCUCAUUCAAGUUAGAAAUCUGAACAACUAUUUCUCCCAAGGCAUUUUUUGUUUUACUUGUGGGCUGUUCCUCACAGUGUGAAAUCCGUCGGCUCUCUCACGGUAUAUCAUGCUCUUAGUUGUGUGAGGAAUGGAGUUGCAUCUUGGAGACUGACUUCACUCAUCGUCGACUGCGGCAAUCAAUUUCUGCAGGUAUGCAUUGGAUGCGUAUAUGCUGCAGAUUAGGAGUUAUAGAAUCUUUGUUCAAGACGACUAGUUAAAUCCUAGAUGCACUAAUUGCGAUCGAGGAUAUACUUUUUUUUAAUUUCAUUGAAAAUGAAAAAAAAAAAAAAAAGAACCCAGCCCCCAGGCCACGGCAGCAGGCCAUUUCACUUUAGUUUCAAUUUGCAACCCAUUAUUUUAAUUUAAAUUAAGUUAAAAAAAUUACUUAAUGAAAUGGAAAAAUAAAAAAUCAAGACAGUGAUCGGCAUUUUAUCAGUAACGAUUUGGCAUGCAUUUUUGUCCCAAUUAAAAAAUCAGUACAAUAACACAUCAUUCGAUUUAAUAGAUUGGAAUUGACAAAUCAUUUACACAUUGCCUAAGUAAUAGAAUGUUGUUUAAUUGUCUAGUAUAUGCUGCAGAUUCAACUGGUAAUUGACACUGCCAUAAAUUAUUCCAUACUUAUUUGUUUAAUUUUCUAUUACAAAGUUAAUAGUAAGCACGAAAUAAAUAAAUAUAUACUGCAAAUUCAACUGGUAUAUAUUAAAUUUGUGUUCACAAUUUGCAUAAUUAGUUAGUUUAGUUUUGUAAGGUUGUGCUGAAUUAUUUGUAUUUUGUUACUUUCAUUUUGUCAAUGUGAAUUAUUUCAAUUUUGUAGAAAUAAAUAAUAUGGAAAAGGACAUCGAAGUUGAAGAGUUGGAGAAAAUUGAUGAGGACGAUGAGCCAAUAAUUGGGAUGUCAUUUGAUAGUGAUGUCGAUUUGUUUAUUUACUUCAAAGAGUAUGGUAAAAGAAAAGGGUUUCCGGUUUUGAGGAGAACUAGUAGAAAUGAUAGUGAUGAGAUUCUUAGAAAUGUGACUUUUGCUUGUGGGAGAAGUGGUGAAACAAGAAGCAAAUAUGUGAAUAUUUUAAAGCUCCAACCUAAUGCAAAAACAGGCUGCAAUGUUAGAUUGGGAGCUGGUUUAGGGGAUAAUGGAAAGUGGACAAUUCAAAGCUUAAAUCUUGAACACAACCAUGUGCUGUUAACUCCAACCAAAUCCAAGUAUUUUCGAUGCAAUCGUAGCCUCAAUACAUAUGCAAAAAAGAAGCUUGAUGUAAAUGAUCGAGCAGGAAUCAGAUUGUGUAAAAAUUAUCAAUCACUUGUUACUGAGGUUGGCGGUCAUGAAAAUGUGACAUUCAUAGAAAGAGAUUGUAGAAAUCAUGUUCAGAAAGAAAGAAGAUUACGGCUUGGAGAUGGAGAUGCUGCUGCUCUUCAAAACUAUUUUAUGAAAGUGCAAGUAGAAGAUAAUAGAUUUUACUUUAGUAUGCAAGUGGAUGAUGAGAGACGAUUAAAAAAUAUUUUUUGGGCCGAGCUAAGGAAUAUGGAAGCGUACAAGGAGUUUGGAGACGUUGUUACAUUUGACACCACGUAUCUUACAAAUAAGUAUGAUAUGCCGUUCGCUCCAUUUGUAGGAGUUAAUCAUCAUGGGCAUUCUAUUCUAUAAUGUUUUGCAUUGUGCUGUUUAUGAUUCCCAGAGUGCUGCGAAAUUUAAGGAAACUUGGCACCGCAUGAUUAUAGAAUAUGAUUUGGGGGAUAACGAAUGGUUACGAAGCUUAUAUGAUAAGAGGCAUCAUUGGGUACCUUGUUAUCUAAACAAUACUUUUUGGGCAAGAAUGUCAUCUACUUAACGCAGUGAAAGCUUGAAUGCAUUUUUUGAUGGUUAUGUUAACUCAAAGACUACUUUGAAGCAGUUUGUAGAGCAAUACAGUUGUGUGUUGAAGAAUAAAGUUUAGAAGGAAGUUGAAGAAGAUGUCAGGUAUCUUUCCUAACAAAUGCCAUGUGUAACAUCUUAUGCAAUGGAGAGGCAAGUCCGAGAUGUGUACACUAUUUCAAAAUUUCAAGAAUUUCAGCAAGAAUUGAUUGGGAAAAUGUAUUGCGAAUUUGUCAAUUCUAUGGGUUGUGAAUAUAUAGUUAGAGAGGAUGUCAAAGUUGGAGAGGGUAAAAAGAGAACCUUUUUUUAAGUAUAUUUUGAAAAAGAAAAUGGUGAAAUACGUUGCAGCUGCUCAAGGUUCUAAUUUAGAGGUAUUCUUUGUAGGCAUGUCGUUACAAUCAUGAUCCGCAAUGACGUAGAAGUACUUUCAGAAAAAUAUAUUUUACGAAGAUGGAGAAAAGAUGUGUGGAGAUGCCAUAGUAGAGUGAAAACGAGUUAUGAGCUUCAUAGUUGUACGGAUGAGCAAAAACAAUAUGAGAAAAUGUGUGCUACUUUCGCGGAGGUUGCAAAUAUGGCUGCACAUAAUAUUGAAAGCUCUAAUCUUGUUUUCAAUUGGAUUGAGAAUGUACGGGAGGAUUUAUCAAAGGCAAUUCCUUGCAGAGAUAAUGAAGUAACUGUUGUUACAGGCCAAGGAAGUUGUAGUGUGGAAGUAGAAACAGUUAGAGAUCCAGUAGCUCGGCGUCAUAAAGGUCGGCCAUCUGGUCAAAGAAAAAAAUCUAAUAAAUUUUCAAAAUCUAAAAUGAAUUCCUCACAUUCCAAUGCAAAGGUACUUUUAAAAUGUAUUUUCAAUUUAAUUAAAGUUAAAAAAUUUAUGAGAUAAAUGAUGUUCAAAUGUAUGUUUUGUUGACUUUGCAGGAUGGAUAGGUGAACGAGCAAGUGCUGACUGUGAUCCCAACACACGAGAACAAUGUUGUUACGGUAGGUUUUAUGGAAUUCAUAUGCAUGUCGUUGAUUUUUAUUACUUAAUCAUAGACAUUUUUCUAAUAUAUUAUUAAUCCUUUGUAGGCAUUUCAAAAUCCUGAAGGAAGUUGUGUUGAUAUGAAUAUGUACCCACAUGGAGUUAUGGACUAUUGUAAUGUAAGUUUUUCAUAGUAUAUGUUAUGAUUUUUUUUUAUUAUCGCUUCAUUUAAUGUAUGUUUGUUUUAGGGUCUUAUGAGCUUACAUUAUAUGGUUGGGGAUAAUGUUUAUCCAACACCUACACAAAAUUCUUGUACGGUAAGUGGUGAUAAAUUUAGUAUUUAUUCAUCUUAUCUACUUUAUUUUCUUUUAUUAUAACAAAAUAUUUAAUUUUUCUUUUAAUAGGAACCACAAUUCCAUCCGCAUGGACAUUUUCAGCAGCUACUCUUUCAGCAAGAUAGUGAAUAUGAAGUUGAUAAGGAGUUUCGAAGUGAUUUCGUAGAAUAUCAUUGUUUUUGUUUUUUCUCAUUAAUGUUCGGAUACAAGCCCUUGGCUAUGAUAUGUGAGAUUGUGGAUUUCAUACAUGAAAUUGUUUUUGUUCUAUGCAUGAUCCUUUAUUAGAUUUAUAUGAUGCAACUGUGUUAUUAUUUGGUUGUGUGCUAUUGGAUUGGAAUGGUGGAGGGAUAUGCUGGAUGUGUUAUUUUUGAAUUAUAUGCUGGUGGAAUGGUAGAGGGAUAUGUUGCAUGUGUUAUUUUUGAAUUAUAUGCUGGUGGAAUAGUGGAGGGAUAUGCUGCAUGUGUUAUUCUUUAAUUGUGUGCUACUGGAAUGGUGGAGGGAUAUAUGAUAUUAUGUUAUUUUUUCAUUGUAUGCUAUUGGAAUUGAGGGAGAAGCUGCAAAUCUGUUAUUCUUUAAUUGUGUGCUACUGGAAUGGUGGAGGGAUAAAUGAUAUCCUGUUAUUUUUUAAUUGUAUGCUACUGGAAUUGAUCCUCUGUAACUGUAGAUCUGUUAUUCUUUAAUUAUUUCCUAAAGAAUAAAUGUGUUUUUAAUGUGCAGCAAUUAUCAAUAUCUACGAGAAAGCAUGGAACAAUUCCCUUACAAACUAGUUAUGGGGAUUAAAUGACAGAAAGAUGCAAAUGAUAAGGCAAAUUAAAAUGACAACGACAAUCAUAAGCAUAAUCUUUUCUGCCUUUUACAGAAACAUUAGUUUUUGUUUACAUCCACUGAAGCAUUCAUGAUACAAUUCGCAAAUAAAGAAAGAAAGAUAAUAAUACAUUAAUUAAUUACACAACUUAAAUAUAAUACAUAUUAAAACAGUUAUCAUUAUUUGCGAGACGUAUGUUACCAGAAAACUUGGUUGUUGUCUUCGUUGAAGUUCUUGCUCAAGCAACUGAAAUUUAAGAGAUAAGCAUUUGAUUUGAUGGCCCAACUUGCGGACUUCUGCUAACAACAUGUCAAUUUUAUUUUUAUUUAUAAUACGAUCUUCCAUCCCUCUAAAAUCAUUACAUUCACUGCUCUUCCAAUCAUCAUCCCAUUCAAAAGCCCCACAUCCUUUGCACUUCCAAAACCUACGAUUCGGAUUUUCUUUUGUACGUGAAGUUCGCAAGACCUUAUUGUUGUUGCAGCAUUUAUCACAAGCUUUCACUUGUGUUUGAAUUUCGCUUGUGCUUGAAGACAUAAGAUUGAACAAAUUCUGUUCAAUAUACACAACAACCCAGAUUCCUUCCAGAAAGAAAAAAUGGUAGUCAAUAUAUUAAAAACCAGCUUACUGAACCAACUUUAAAAUUACCAAUUGCAUCUUUAUGCUAAUGACCACCAAUUCAACUUCAACCAUGCAAAGACAAAAAAAAAUGUUAACAUAAGUAUGUGCUAAGUCUAAUUUUCUUUUUUUCUCCCAAAAAAAAAAAAGAAAUACAUCUUACUGCAUUCAUCUCAAAAGUACAACAAAAAGUCUACACUAAUUCCAUUCAGCUCAAAUAAAAUUAUUCAAUUUCAACUACAAAGAAAACAAAAAGAAGAAAAAUAUGGUAUGUUUGCUACUCAUUUCAAAAAUGUCUAAGAGGAACACAAGAAUAAUCAACUCACCCAUCAGUUGGAAUAUUUGUAGUAGUCAACUUCAAAGGAUAUAACGGAUUGCCAAUUGUAACCAAGAAAUUGCAUGUAAAUAACUAUCAAAAUGCCAUCUCCAGCACAAGACCAUCUACUAAGGCUAUCAAAAUCCCAUCUCCAGCACAAGGCCAUCUCCUAAGACUAUUGAAAAUAAUUGUCUCAUUUGCUCACAAUAUCAACUGGAUUUUCAAAAAUUAAAAAUCAACUCACGGAAAUUUGCCAUUACCUAUACAAUUCGAGAGAACAGAGACGAUAGAGAAGAGAGAGAGCAUAUCCACAGUGAGAGACCAACGGCGAGAGACCCACGGCCAGAGACCAACGCCGAGCACCACUGCUUGAGAAAGUUUGAGAAUAGAGACGACAGAGAAGAGAGAGAGCAGACCCACGGUGAGAGACUAACGGUGAGAGACCCACGGCUGGAGACCCACGGCCAGAGACCAACGCCGAGCACCACUGCCUGAGAAAGUUUGAGAACGGAGAUCGAAGAGAGACACUGCAAGAGAAACGGUGAGAUUUCUGUGAGAGCAAAUGGAGAAAAGGUGUGUGUCGCGUGAGAUCUAUUGCGCGUGUGUUGUGGUGGCUAUGUGUGUAUCACGUGAGUUGGCUCAUUUUAUACUAUGCCCAAAAUGCACCGUUUGGUGCUUAUUGUGGUGCUUAACAUGGGAAGAGUCUCAUUUUCCUAUUAAAAUACCAAUUUCGAAUCGAGUUCAGGCGCCAGAGCAAUUUUCUCGAACCUGGCCCGAGUUAUUCUUGGGCUUGGGCCGGACGACCAAGUCCUCCUUGAUUAAAAUUUUGAGACUUUUCGAGGUUCACAGGGAUUUUGGCAUCCCUAGUCGAAUCAACACCGAUGUGAUCUACACAACCAGUGUACAUACCAUUUGAUACUGAAACACCAAAUACUUAGAUGUAAUCAGCAACAAUGACACACACACACACAUAUAUAUAUGUAGAGCUAAUAUUAAAAAUUGUUAUUUUAUUAUACUUUUCUUCAGUGUAUGCCAUCUUUUGGGCAGGCAUGGCAUUAAUGAGCAAAAAUGAAGACAACACACACAUUACACACACACACACAGUGUAAUUGAAAUAUCGAACUGGCAAGGACACAAAAUGAAUUUAAUAGUAUAUAUUAUCUCAUUAUGGCAAAUCUAAAAAACACAAACUUAUUUAACAGCUAGCAAAUUUAAAAAUCACGACAGCAUCAAAAAUUGCGCACAAGAAUUUAAUUAACGGGGACUUAAAAUGGAGUUGAUAUGAUCAGCAAUGUUUUGGGCAUCAGCAGCAGCUCCAUAGAGUCCUUUCCUCGACAAUCCAACGCAGUAUAAACCAUUCUUCCCUUUCCAAUGAUUUGGGUAACUUUGCUUUGGAAUUCCAUCAUCGUUCAGCAUAGAAUCAUCCCCCUGCUCAACAACAACAAGAAAAAAAAAAAAAAAUCUAAGAUUGAUUUGUACUUUUUGUAACCAUUAACGCGAAAGAGUAACAAAUUAUUAUAGAAACAAUAAAAAAUAAAAUGGUAAAAGGCGAUUUGUUUUUGGGGGAGGCAAAGUGAGAAUCGUCUUCUUUCCAAUAUACAUGUAUAUAAACAUUAUAUUACCUUGAGCCAAACAUUUGUUGAUCUCUUGAAGCCAGUACAGAAAACAAUCGAGUCAAAGUGAUGGGAGUGGCCAUUCUCAAAUAUCACCUCGUUGCCUCUAAUGCUCUCGAUUCCCGGCAAUACCUGUGCAGGAGGAAUUUUAAAUUAUAUCACAAGUAAUACAACAAUCAACUAACUUAGUCAUAUACCACAUGUGUAAUUAAAAAAUUAAUAUAAUUACUACUUAUAUAUUAAUUUUUCAUAAUAUAUACUUAUAAUUUUAUAUUUAUUAUAUAAUUAAUAUAAUAUUUUAGAUGUAUUUUAAAAUUUUUGUUAGUGCGGGUAUAUUUUUACCUGUGUGUAUAUAUAGGGAGAGAGAGGAAGGCCGGCGAGCCCAUUCAAAUAAUAAAUAUCUGAUCACGUAGAAAUUAAUUACCUGAAUCUGCCCAGACUUGAUUUUCUCACAGGUGCCGGCAUCGAUGACCGGGUACUUUCCAUAAGCAGCUUUCAUGAAAAAAGGACCUUCCCUGGGCUUGUGGAUCCCAUACUUGUUCAAAUCUCCAUAAACAAGCCUGCUAAGCAUCACCAUCAAUGUGUCGACCCCGCCGCAUGGAACAUACCUCAAUAAAACUAACCCCAAAUACACCAUCUCCCUCGACAGCACAUGAACCUGAUUAAUUAAUUAAUCGAGUAGAUAGAUAUAUAGAAAUUAAGUAAAAAAAUAUGUGCAUGCCAAGUGAAAUAAUAAUGAAUUUACCCACCGGGCUACGGAUAACUAAAGAGGUUUUGGCGGCAUGGUUGGCUAGAUCCAGUGCAAUUUCCAUGCCAGAAUUUCCAGAGCCAACGACCAACACAUUCUUGCCGCCAUAAGGUUUCCCAUUUUUAUACUGAGUGGAAUGAAUAACUUCUCCAGUCCCGGUGGCACUACUGCAGAAAGAGCUCAGUCCUCGAAUAUCCGGCGUAAAAGGGUUGCUCGUUUCCCCACUUGCAACCACCAGAAACCUCCCGGAAUAAUAUUCCUCAAUCACACGGCCGGGACUUAGUAAGUUGCUAGCCUUAACGUUCCACAUAUUGGUUGCCUCGUCGUAGCUCGCCGAUUCAACGGAUCUUUGGUACCGUAUUGACGGAACGAUGUUGAAAUGGGAAACGUAGUGAUCCAAGUAUUCAAUGAAUUGGGCCCUGGAGACAAACAUCGGAUAAGAAGAAGGGAAUGGCAGGUGAGGGAGCUGACAAAAUUGCUUUGCUAAGUGCAGACGUAGGCGAUCGUAGGAAUAUUUCUUCCAGAUGGACGCGUAACAAUUUUCUCUUUCGAGGAUUACGUAAGGGAUUGAUUGAAGGCUAAGGCAGGCCGCCGUCGCCAGGCCGGACGUUCCUGCCCCUACCAUUAUCACUUCUACUCCCGCCGCUUGCUCUUUCAUUUCUUCUUCUUCUUCUUCUUUUUCAGGUUAAUUUUGAGUUAAGUUGAUUGUUAUUGCCCGUCUGGGGGUGCUUUUUCUAUUUAUAUACUGAAAAUCUUUACGUUAUAUGUACGACUCCA